UUUUCUUCAAGUUCAUUGAUUUUUCUCCCUAUCUUGUUGAGUCUACUGAUGAAUCAGUAAAAGGUCCACCUGUCAAAGAGCAGAGUCUGUCCCGCUUCCAUCCAAUAGCCAGCAAGGCAAAGGGGCCCUCAAGCCAAGAAACCAGAGGAACUGAAUCCUAUCAACCACCACACGACAGGAACUUCAUGCAGAGUACAGCGAAGGAUUGGAGGGAUAUUCAUGAACGAGAAAUCAAUGGAGGACAAGAUGACUCACAUUUUUCCCCAAAGUAUAAUGCAGGUGAUUUCACACCCAGGAGUAAUACAUCAGAAUAAAAUUCCAGACAGCAAGAGGAUGUAUUUCUUUUUUUGGGUAGGAGAUUUCGGGGAAGAGGAUGUGGAAAAGGUGAACCUAGAGACACAUAUAGGUUAGUUCUCAGGCAGAUCAAUUUUAGUAAAGAUACCAUAGGGAAAUUACAGAUGUGGAAAUUUAUUUUUAUAACACUAUCCAUGUUCCCUCCAUUAACCUUGGAAAUGCUUCGUGUAGUGCAUUCUAAGAACUGUGGUAUCAGAAGUUUCAUCUAGGCUAAUUAGCGUAUUAUUACACUGAUCUGAAACAUGAAUAAGUAUUAGCUAAUUUAUUGUUACAAUCCAUACAACUACUGGAGUGAGGAGGGGUUUUGAAGUGUAUUAAAAAUCCUCAUUCAUUAUCAAAUGUUACACAUUUACCUCUAUCAGUAGAUUUCUGAGUUUCUCUUAUAGAAUGUUUGAUAAUUGUUUAAUUGAGGUGAAGUAUAUAACUAAAUACAUUUUGUGUACCAAUUACAUAUAAUUUUCCCAUUUAAUAAAUAAUUUUGACUAUUUAUUAUAUUUCAGUAUUUAUAUUGGCUUCUACAGAUAAAGUGAUGGCCAAUCACUAACUCCAUCCUCAAGUAGUCCAUAGUGUAUCAGCAGAAGCAAGCUAAGUAGACACAAUCAAUGCAGAGAGUGGGGCAUUAUGAUAGAAUUAGCAGAAAAGCCACUGGAAGGAUAUGUAUGCCAAUUUUGGACUGGAAGAAAGCUUCCUGAAGGAAACAGAUACAGUGCAAUCUCUGGACUGUGAGACAAAUUCAUGGAAACAACAGAAAUAUGUAGGAGCAUGCUUUGAUAUAAAGAUCACCUAUCAUCACUUCAAUAAAUUUUCUACAGUUGUGUACAAAGUGUUGAUCUGAAUUAUGUCAACAUAGUUCUUUCAAUAGGUAACAGCAAUUUCCUAAAUAUUUGACUAUUCUUAUUAUCUGGUACUCUGCUUAUUGUGUAUCUCUAUGUAUUGGAAAUUUUAUAAAUAUAAACAAUGCAAAUGAGACAGAUAAUAUAAUAAAGAUGAGAUAAUAUUCUCAGAAAGAAAGAUUAUAAUUAUUACAACAUAAGUGACUAUGAAUGGUGGUUAACUCUAAUGCAGAUAAUCGUGCAUCUUAUGUAUGUGCAUGCCUACAUGGAUAUAUGUAUAUAUGUGUGGGUGUGGACAUGGGUCAGUGUGGAGCGAUGUGAAAAAUUCCAUCUAUCCAAAUUAGCUGUUCAUUUAGGAAAAGUUACAAAAAUCAAGUAAUUUGGAAUUUAAAAAUUAUUCAGGGUAUGCAUGUUGUACUAGAUUGUGAAACUAAAUCCUAAAUAAAAUGUGUUUGCUUCAAAGUUCUUUGUUGACUUUGCAGACAGAACAGAGAGCUUGACAGUAAGAAAUGACUCCAUAGUUUCAUAGUUGUUCAGGUAAAUCAGUGUAACAGUCUGUGUUGCAGUGGUCCCAA